rnacentral:rRNA from 1 species
CCUACGGGAGGCAGCAGUAGGGAAUCUUCGGCAAUGGACGGAAGUCUGACCGAGCAACGCCGCGUGAGUGAAGAAGGUUUUCGGUUCGUAAAACUCUGUUGUUAGAGAAGAACAGCGCAUAGAGUAACUGUUAUGCGUGUGACGGUAUCUAACCAGAAAGCCACGGCUAACCACGUGCCAGCAGCCGCGGUAAUACGUAGGUGGCAAGCGUUGUCCGGAUUUAUUGGGCGUAAAGCGAGCGCAGGCGGUCAAUUAAGUCUGAUGUGAAAGCCCCCGGCUCAACCGGGGAGGGUCAUUGGAAACUGGUUGACUUGAGUGCAGAAGAGGAGAGUGGAAUUCCAUGUGUAGCGGUGAAAUGCGUAGAUAUAUGGAGGAACACCAGUGGCGAAGGCGACUCUCUGGUCUGUAACUGACGCUGAGGCUCGAAAGCGUGGGUAGCAAACAGGAUUAGAUACCCUGGUAGUCCACGCCGCAAACGAUGAGUGCUAAGUGUUGGAGGGUUUCCGCCCUUCAGUGCUGCAGUUAACGCAUUAAGCACUCCGCCUGGGGAGUACGACCGCAAGGUUGAAACUCAAAGGAAUUGACGGCUGCUGCCUCCCGUAGG